rnacentral:rRNA from 1 species
UACGGAGGAUGCAAGCGUUAUCCGGAAUGAUUGGGCGUAAAGCGUCCGCAGGUGGCUAUGUAAGUCUGCUGUUAAAGAGUGAGGCUCAACCUCAUAAAAGCAGUGGAAACUACAUGGCUAGAGUGCGUUCGGGGCAGAGGGAAUUCCUGGUGUAGCGGUGAAAUGCGUAGAGAUCAGGAAGAACACCGGUGGCGAAGGCGGCUACCUGGACAGAAACUGACGCUGAGGCGCGAAAGCUAGGGGAGCGAAUGGG